rnacentral:rRNA from 1 species
GAACGUACGCUGGCGGCACGCCUAACACAUGCAAGUCGAACGAAGUAGCAAUACUUAGUGGCAGACGGGUGAGUAACAUGUAGGUAUCUGCCCUUUGGCCUGGAAUAACACGAGGAAACUUGUGCUAAUACCGGAUAAGUCUUUACGGAGAAAGCUUUAUGCACCAUUGGAUGAGCCUGCACUUGAUUAGUUUGUUGGUGGGGUAAUGGCCUACCAAGACUGUGAUCAAUAGCUGAUUUGAGAGGAUGAUCAGCCACAUUGGGACUGAGACACGGCCCAAACUCCUACGGGAGGCAGCAGUGGGGAAUCUUGCACAAUGGAGGAAACUCUGAUGCAGCGAUGCCGCGUGAGUGAAGAAGGCCCUUGGGUUGUAAAGCUCUUUCGUCGGGGAAGAAAAUGACUGUACCCGAAUAAGAAGGUCCGGCUAACUUCGUGCCAGCAGCCGCGGUAAUACGAAGGGACCUAGCGUAGUUCGGAAUUACUGGGCUUAAAGAGUUCGUAGGUGGUUGAAAAAGUUGGUGGUGAAAUCCCAGAGCUUAACUCUGGAACUGCCAUCAAAACUUUUCAGCUAGAGUAUGAUAGAGGAAAGCAGAAUUUCUAGUGUAGAGGUGAAAUUCGUAGAUAUUAGAAAGAAUACCAAUUGCGAAGGCAGCUUUCUGGAUCAUUACUGACACUGAGGAACGAAAGCAUGGGUAGCGAAGAGGAUUAGAUACCCUCGUAGUCCAUGCCGUAAACGAUGUGUGUUAGACGUUGGAAAUUUAUUUUCAGUGUCGCAGGGAAACCGAUAAACACACCGCCUGGGGAGUACGACCGCAAGGUUAAAACUCAAAUGAAUUGACGGGGACCCGCACAAGUAGUGGAGCAUGUGGUUUAAUUCGAAGAUACGCGCAGAACCUUACCAACACUUGACAUGUUCGUCGCGACUCUAAGAGAUUAGAGUUUUCGGUUCGGCCGGACGAAACACAGGUGCUGCAUGGCUGUCGUCAGCUCGUGUCGUGAGAUGUUGGGUUAAGUCCCGCAACGAGCGCAACCCUCACUUUUAGUUGCCAUCAUUAAGUUGGGCACUCUGAAAGAACUGCCAGUGAUAAGCUGGAGGAAGGUGGGGAUGACGUCAAGUCCUCAUGGCCCUUACGUGUUGGGCUACACACGUGCUACAAUGGCAUCUACAACAGGAAGCAAAACGGCAACGUUAAGCAAAUCCCGAAAAGAUGCCUCAGUUCGGAUUGCACUCUGCAACUCGAGUGCAUGAAGCUGGAAUUACUAGUAAUCGUGGAUCAGCGUGCCACGGUGAAUGCGUUCCCGGGUCUUGUACUCACC